rnacentral:lncRNA from 1 species
UUUUCCUCUUGAUUCCAGUCCUUUCAAUAACGUCCUUCAAAUAAGACAUGCGGAGAAAAGGAGAAAUACCAGAAACUGAAAACAUGAAGAUUGAUACUGGCAUCAAGAAACACAGGAAACAUGGAUGAAUAUUUUAAACUCAAGGUCAUACUAUCGAGCCACUCUCAACCUGGCAGAUCGCUUCACCAGAGCAAGGACACAAGACAAGCCACAGAGAGAAUGUGGAAGGUACUAUUGCCAUGUUCUACUUGUUAUAAGCAAGCCACUCAAUCCGGUCCACACA